UACGUAGGGUGCGAGCGUUGUCCGGAAUUAUUGGGCGUAAAGGGCGCGUAGGCGGUUCGGCAAGUCUCUAGUGAAAUCUCUGGGCUCAACUCAGAGUCUGCUGGGGAUACUGUCGGGCUUGAGUACGGAAGAGGCGAGUGGAAUUCCUGUGUAGCGGUGAAAUGCGCAGAUAUCAGGAGGAACACCAAUGCGAAGGCAGCACUCUGGGACGUGACUGACGCUGAGACGCGAAAGCGUGGGGAGCAAACAGG
rnacentral:rRNA from 1 species